rnacentral:rRNA from 1 species
UACGUAGGGUGCAGGCGUUAAUCGGAAUUACUGGGCGUAAAGGGCGCGUAGGCGGCCACCGCAAGUCGACUGUGAAAUCUCCGGGCUUAACCCGGAAAGGUCAGCCGAUACUGCGGGGCUAGAGUGCAGAAGGGGCAACUGGAAUUCUCGGUGUAGCGGUGAAAUGCGUAGAGAUCGGGAGGAACACCGGCGGCGAAGGCGGCUGCCUGGACCGGCCCUGACGCUGAGGCGCGAAAGCUAGGGGAGCAAACAGG